AACGUAGGAGACGAACGUUAUCCGGAGUUACUGGGCGUAAAGGGCGUGCAGGCGGCUUGAUAAGUUCGGCGUGAAAUUUCCCGGCUUAACCGGGGGAUGUCGUCGGAGACUGUCGAGCUAGAGGGUGAUAGAGGCGUGUGGAAUUCUCGGUGUAGCGGUGAAAUGCGUAGAUAUCGUAAGGAAGACCAGUGGCGAAGGCGGGUCUCUGGACAGUUCCUGACGCUGAGGCACGAAGGUCAGGGGAGCAAACGGG
rnacentral:rRNA from 1 species